AUGGAGUGACCUCUGUCUUUCAGUCCUCUGGGAGGAUGCGGCUCUCACUGGCUCUCGUCCCGCAGCGGACUGUCACCUCAGAUGGCCUCACUGAGGCAAAUGCCGUGCUCCCUGCCUGACGCGUAGAAGAAUAAUUAGAGUGCUGUCCAGCAUGAAAGGAAACUGUGACAGACUGUCAACAACAGAUGUUUGAGCCAUUUUAACAUUGGUUUCUCCUUGUCUUUUACAAAUGCAGUACAGUACAGGGGUUGUUAAGAGAGGACCUUUGGCACCAGUUUUCCAGGUACAAAUCUUGAUGUUUAGCACUUACCAUGAUAGUUGUAUGACCUUAGGCAAAUUACACAACACCUCUGUGCCUCAGUUUUCUCACCUGUAAAAUGGGGGGAGUGAUUAUAAUAGUACCCCCUUUCAUGGGGUUGCUCUGAGGAUUAAAUAAACUAAUGAUACUGA